rnacentral:misc_RNA from 1 species
AAGUCGUAACAAGGUUUCCGUAGGUGAACCUGCGGAAGGAUCAUUAACCUUUCAAAACAGGGUGCGUCGCGGCCCCCAAGGUGCGGAACAAGCCUCGAGCGGUUUGGGGUCCUCCCCUUCACGCGCGCACGACUGCCAUCCUUACUUUACGAGCACCUUCUGUUCUCCCUCGGCGGGGCAACCUGCCGUUGGAACCGAAUAAACUCUUUUUGCAUCUAGCAUUACCUGUUCCGAAACAAACAAUCGUUACAA